ensembl:lncRNA
UCUGUAUGCCCAUAGCACUUCCAUAACAGUCUAUGACUUGUCUUACUGAUUAUUGUGGAAACGUGUCCUAAAGAGAGGAAGUGGUACAUAACUCCUUUUCUUUGAUUUUGCUCGCUCCCCCGCCCCCCCACCGUGUGUGUGUGUGUGUGUGUGUGUGUGUGUGUGUGUGAGUGUGUGUGUGUUUCACCUGUAUGCUGCUGUGCACCACGUAAGCAGAGCAGUGCCCAUGGAAGCCAGAAGAGGGCGAGUGAUCCUCUGGAACUGGAGUUCACUGCGGUGUCGGUGCUGGAACUGAAUCUGGAUCCUCUGAAGAACCGAGGAGGAAAAAGGAAAGCAAAUAGCAAUGUGGAGCCACCCCCAGAGUCAGCUCUGGUUUCAGUCUACAUCUUGAACUACAAUUAUGUGUAUCUCUGGCUAUGAUGUGUCCAGAUCAAAACCGAAGAGCGCUCCAUUUCUGUAGCUUCCACGGUAUCCUAGGAGCGGGAAAUACCCACCAAGAACCCAGUAGAGUCACUAAUCGCUGAAAGUCACGAAACAACAGUACUGUCAGGAUCUGAGACAGUAAACAAACAAACAAGACAUGAAAUGACACAAACCCAUUAUCAAAUGAGUAUUAUAAACAUUAGCUUAAAAUCACCUAGAAUUGACUUAAAGCUAAAUAUACUAAAAAAAAAAAUGUGUAACGUGAUACAUGGUCCAACACAAGGAAGUAUCCGGGGAAACUAACAAAAGACGCUCACAGUUAAGCCUCAACAGCAUGAAAGGUGUCGCCGGCCUCCUCCGUCUCUCGCUCUCAGAUGAGAGAGUGGCAGCAUCUCCUUGGGCAGUCUGCAGGUUCUGACUUCUGUAUCGUACUGACUCCUUCCUUGUUCGUCUACAUUUUCCCAAUACCAGGUUCUUGGAGCUAGUGAGGUUCUGUCCCGUGAGCUGCCCGCACUCUGAACUUUCUUACAUCCGUGAGGGUUCCUCAGGGAAGGAAUCUGGUUGUUUACACAUCAUUUGUCCAAGCUGGACUGAGCUCAAGCUGCAAGUCCCAGUGCUUCCUUCCCAAGCCCCAGGUUCCAGUCAGCCCUGCCCAGUCUUCUCAUUCCCAGAAACCCGUAUUCCUCCCCAGGGAUCUGCACCUACUCUGUGCUUCCCAGACUUAGGAAGUUUUGCUUCUUCAACAGGAAUAUGCUAUGAACUGUUCUUGGAAAAAUACCCCCAGGUGCCUAACAGCACUCCUAAAAGCUAACUUUUCCCUUCUGUGGCAAAUGAAUGGGUUACAAACCUUGUCAAGCCAAGUAUUUAACAGAGGAAGAUGGGGAAUGGUCCGAUGGUCACAAGAGCAUUGCUUUUGGACAGGGUUCAUCGAUUUUUCACAGAACCUAGGUUUUUUUUUUUUUUUUAAUAGAAAAUUUCUUAUUUUUUCUUUAUUCGUGGUAGCACUACUGUAAUUUACAGGGUAUAUACCUGAGAUAAUAAAAAGAAAAACUUCAAGAGAUAAAAGGCCCCAGGAGUGCACAUCUAAUUGACACUACAUUUGCACUGCAGAAUCAGGGAACUCUUUGCAGACUGUGGGUGGGAUAGUCCUGAGCAAGGAGAGAUUCCUGUUUUAAGUGACAUCAACCUUCCUACGACUCACGGCUCCUUCUGUGGCAGACUUUCACAGUUUGGGAGGAUGUCUCAAAGUGACCUGCAGCCCUAACACCUCCUGGUGCAUGCUGUAGCCCUUCUCUGGUAGUCUUAGAACCAUCGUUACCCUAUCCACCACUUGUACCACCAGAUCCAUAACCAUCACCAUAGGGUCUACCUGACUGUCCUCCACCCCCACUGCCCCCUUCCUGAGUCCAUUAUUUAAUUGCUAUUGUCCACCAUAAUUUCCAAAUGCAGCAUAGCUGUCACCACCACCUUUGUGGAGGAAGCGUGUCACCGUAGGGGGUGGGCUCUGUGCUCUCCUAGGCUCAAACUCCACCCAGCGAGGCACACAGUCUCCUCUGCUGCUUUCGGAUCAAGAUGUGGAACUCUCAGCUCCUUCUCCAGCAUCACGUCUGCCUGCCUGCUGCUAUGUGUCCUGCCACGAUGAUGAUGGACUAAGCCUCUAAAACGGAAAUCCAGCUCCCAAGGAAAUGUUUUCCUUUAUGAAAGUUGUGGCCCAUACAUAUACAGCCACCAAACUAGAUAAGAUGGAUGAAGCAAAGAAGUGCAGGCUGACAGGAACCGGAUGUAGAUCUCUCCUGAGAGACACAGCCAGAAUACAGCAAAUACAGAGGCGAAUGCCAGCAGCAAACCACUGAACUGAGAACAGGACCCCCAUUGAAGGAAUCAGAGAAAGGACUGGAAGAGCUUGAAGGGGCUCGAGACCCCAUAUGAACAACAAUGCCAAGCAACCAGAGCUUCCAGGGACUAAGCCACUAACUAAAGACUAUACAUGGACUGACCCUGGACUCUGACCUCAUAGGUAGCAAUGAAUAUCCUAGUAAGAGCAGCAGUGGAAGGGGAAGCCCUGGGUCCUGCUAAGACUGAACCCCCAGUGAACAUGACUGUUGGGGGGAGGGCGGUAAUGGGGGGAGGAUGGGGAGGGGAACACCCAUAGAGAAGGGGGGGG